rnacentral:lncRNA from 1 species
GGUUUUAAAAUUGUCACAUUUUAAGUUCAUAAAUGACAGCUUGGUGGUAUUCAGAAUUUAUUUUUGUUAACAUAAUCACAUGAUUUAUGUACAAAACAUUAAACAAAAAAAAAACAAAUAACAACCACUGAAUUACAGGCACAUACAUAAUGUGAAGGGGUUAAGCAUUUUCACAAGUGCCCAACCCUCCCCUAAUUUUGGACAUUUGUGUAUUAUCAGCACAAAAUAAGAACAAGGUAUAACAAUCAGUUAAAAAAGGCUAUACUCAUCAGAUUGAUACAAGCACA